rnacentral:rRNA from 1 species
GACGAACGCUGGCGGCGUGCUUAACACAUGCAGGUCGAACGGGCCCGCUCUCUUUUUUGGGGGUGGGUUGAGUGGCGAACGGGUGAGUAUCACGUGAGUAACCUGCCCCCUGCUCCUGGAUAACUGCUUGAAAGGGCGGCUAAUACGGGGUGUGCCGGCUGGUCCGCAUGGGCCUGGUCGGGAUAGUUUCAUCUUCGGGUGUUUCGGUGGGGGAUGGGCUCGCGGCCUAUCAGCUUGUUGGUGGGGUGAUGGCCCACCAAGGCGGUGACGGGUAGCCGGCCUGAGAGGGUGGGCGGCCACACUGGGACUGAGACACGGCCCAGACUCCUGCGGGAGGCAGCAGUGGGGGGUAUUGCACAAUGGACGGAAGCCUGAUGCAGCGACGGCGCGUGAGGGAUGGAGGCCUUCGGGUUGUGAACCUCUUUCUCCGGUGGUGAAGGCCCUGUCCGUUGCGGCGGGGUUGACGGUAGCCGGGUAUGAAGCGCCGGCUAACUACGUG